rnacentral:rRNA from 1 species
UAAUUCGACGCUACGCGAAAAACCUUACCAGGUCUUGACAUCCGACUAACGAAGCAGAGAUGCAUUAGGUGCCCUUCGGGGAAAGUCGAGACAGGUGGUGCAUGGUUGUCGUCAGCUCGUGUCGUGAGAUGUUGGGUUAAGUCCCGCAACGAGCGCAACCCUUGCCGAUAGUUACUACGAAAGAGGACUCUAUCGGGACUGCCGUUGACAAAACGGAGGAAGGUGGGGAUGACGUCAAAUCAUCAUGCCCCUUAUGACCUGGGCUACACACGUACUACAAUGGCUGUUCACAGAGGGACGCAAUACCGCGAGGUGGAGCAAAACCCUAAAAACAGUCUCAGUUCAGAUUGCAGGCUGCAACUCGCCUGCAUGAAGUCGGAAUUGCUAGUAAUCGCGGAUCAGCAUGCCGCGGUGAAUACGUUCCCGGGCCUUGUACACACCGCCCGUCAAGCCAUGAAAGUCGGUAAUACCCGAUAUCGGUUGUCUAACCGCAAGGAGGACGCCGCCUAAGGUAGGAUCGAUGAUUGGGGCUAAGUCGUAACAAGGUAACCAAG